UACGUAGGGUGCAAGCGUUAAUCGGAAUACUGGGCGUAAAGCGUGCGCAGGCGGUGAUGUAAGACAGGUGUGAAAUCCCCGGGCUUAACCUGGGAACUGCAUUUGUGACUGCAUCGCUGGAGUGCGGCAGAGGGGAAUGGAAUUCCGCGUGUAGCAGUGAAAUGCGUAGAUAUGCGGAGGAACACCGAUGGCGAAGGCAAUCCCCUGGGCCUGCACUGACGCUCAUGCACGAAAGCGUGGGGGGCAAACAGG
rnacentral:rRNA from 1 species